CCUACGGGAGGCAGCAGUGAGGAAUAUUGGUCAAUGGACGAGAGUCUGAACCAGCCAAGUAGCGUGAAGGAUGACUGCCCUAUGGGUUGUAAACUUCUUUUAUAUGGGAAUAAAAUGUUCCACGUGUGGGAUUUUGUAUGUACCCUAUGAAUAAGGAUCGGCUAACUCCGUGCCAGCAGCCGCGGUAAUACGGAGGAUCCGAGCGUUAUCCGGAUUUAUUGGGUUUAAAGGGAGCGUAGGUGGAUUGUUAAGUCAGUUGUGAAAGUUUGCGGCUCAACCGUAAAAUUGCAGUUGAAACUGGCAGUCUUGAGUACAGUAGAGGUGGGCGGAAUUCGUGGUGUAGCGGUGAAAUGCUUAGAUAUCACGAAGAACUCCGAUUGCGAAGGCAGUUCACUGGACUGCAACUGACAUUGAGGCUCGAAAGUGUGGGUAUCAAACAGGAUUAGAUACCCCAGUAGUC
rnacentral:rRNA from 1 species